CGCAUUUAGAUCGUGAUAUAUUUUUCGAUUUUCUGUGCUGCAAUGGUCAAGGGCUUGUGCUAUGUAAUAAGCAACUCGAACACGCAUUUCCCAAGGGAAUGGUUGUUUCUCCCAAUGAAACAGAUGCUUUGAGAGAGUGUCAUUGGGCAUAUACUCUGCCACCAACAGCCUCUCGUCCCCCUCUGCACAGCAUCCAAUUAAAUUAACCAAUCUUUUAAAUCUCAGUUUACCAACUCCGG
rnacentral:misc_RNA from 1 species